rfam:Lingula anatina scaffold136, whole genome shotgun sequence.
AAAAAAGUUACGAAGUGCAUAUAAUGGAUGCCUUGGCAUUGAAAGACGAAGAAAGACGUGAAUACCUGCGAUAAGCUUCGGUUAGGUGGUAAAAAACCUUUGAUCCGGAGAUGUCUGAAUGAGGAAACUCACCACCAUUAGAGUGGUAUCCUAUAUCUUUUUUAGAUAAGGAAGUUAAACCUGGUGAACUGAAACAUCUUAUUAACCAGAGGAAAAGAAAACAAAGUUGAUUCCCUAAGUAGCGGCGAGCGAAACGGGAACAGGCCAAACCAAUUUUUUAAAUUGGGGUUGAAGGAGUAGUAAUAAAAAACAGUUAUAAAUUUAUUUGAUAGAAAAAGUUUUUGGAAAGAAACACCCUAGAAAGUGAUAGUCUUGUAUUCGAAAUUAAAUAAACUGAAAGCUACCACCUGAGUACGACGAGGCACGUGUAAUCUUGUCGGAAUCUGCGGAAAAGACUCCGUAAGCCUAAAUACUAUUCAAUGACCGAUAGUGAACCAGUACCGUGAGGGAAAGGUGAAAAGUACCCCGAGAGGGGAGUGAAAUAGUCUCUUGAAAUUAUAUGCAUACAAGAAGUCAGAGCACCAAUAUGGUGUGAUGGCGUGCCUUUUGCAGCAUGAUCCUGCGAGUUAUUUUCUUAAGCAAAGUUAAACUGAAGAAGUGGAGCUGUAGCGAAAGCGAGUGUUAAUAGCGCGUUUAGUUUAAGGAAUUAGACCCGAAACCGUGUGAGCUUACCAUGGUCAGGUCGAAGUAACAGUAACAUGUUAUGGAGGACCGAACCAGUGUCCGUUUUAAAGGGCUUGGAUGAACUGUGGUAAGUGGUGAAAUGCUAAUCGAACACGGAAAUAGCUGGUUCUCUUCGAAAUAUUUUUAGGAAUAGCGUCGAGUGUACUUUGAUGGCGGUAGAGCGCUGAAUAUGUUGGAGGGCCCUCCCAAGGUUUACUUCACGUAAUUAAACUUCGAAUUCCAUCAAAUAAAUUACUCGGCAGUCAGUCAGUGGGUGAUAAGUCCAUUGGCAAGAGGGAAACAACCCUGAUCAUCAGUUAAGGUCCCAAAAUCAAUACUAAGUGGAAAAAGUUGUGGAGAUACUCAGACAACUGGGAUGUUGGCUUAGAAGCAGCCACUCAUUUAAAGAGUGCGUAAUAGCUCACCAGUCAAGUGUAUCUGCGUUGAAGAUAUAACGGGGCUAAGUAUUGUACCGAAACUAUGAACUUGUUUUAUAACAAGUGGUAGAAGAGCGUUCUAACAACAUUGAAGAUUAAUUGUAAAAUUGGUUGGAGUGGUUAGAAGUGAGAAUGCAGGAGUAAGUAACGAUUGAAGGUGAGAAUCCUUCACACCGAAUGAUUAAGGUUUCUUAGGCCAGGUUCGUCCUCCUAAGGUUAGUCGGGUCCUAACACGAGGUCUAAAGACGUAGUGGAUGGAUAAUCGGUUGAUAUUCCGAUACUUUUAGUAUCAGUGAUGGAGUGACGAAAGAGGUUAGGAUAUGCCAGCUGUUGGUUAUGCUGGUCUAAGCAUGUAAGGUAUGGAAUAGGUAAAUCCGUUCCAAUAAUACCCAAAUGUUAAAGAUAGUGAAAUGCUUUUGCAAAUUAACGAAGUAUCUGACACCAUAUUUCCAAGAAAAGCUUCUAAUGUUAAUGAUAUUAAAACCCGUACCGACAACGAACACACGUGAUCAAAAAGAGAAUUUUAAGGUGAGCGAGACAACUACAUUUAAGGAACUCGGCAAAAUUACCCUGUAAGUUCGCAAGAUAGGGUACUCCAUUUUUGGAGUCGCAGAGAAUCAAUCCAGGCAACUGUUUAACAAAAACACAAAUCCCUGCAAAGCAGAAAUGCAAAGUAUAGGGGUUGAUACCUGCCCAGUGUUAGAAGGUUAAGGAAGAUUGUGAUUUUAUUUAUAAAAUUGCGGUUGACCGAAGCCCUAAUGAACGGCGGCUGUAAAUAUAACGGUCCUAAGGUAGCGAAAUUCCUUGUCAGAUAAGUCCUGACCUGCACGAAAGGUACAAUGAUCUGGAUGCUGUCUCAAAUGUAGACUCGGUGAAAUCUUAUUACUCGUGACGAUGCGAGUUUUCCGCAGCUAGACGAAAAGACCCCGUGGAGCUUUACUAUAACUUGAUAUUGAGUUUUAGUUUAAUUUGUACAGAAUAAGUAGGAGUCUAUGAUCUGAUGAUGCCAGUUGUCAGUGAGACGAUAGUGAAAUACUACUCUUGUUAAAUUGAAACUCUAACCUUUAGAUAACAAUCAAAGGGACAGUGUCAGGUGGGUAGUUUGACUGGGGCGGUCGCCUCCUAAAAUGUAACGGAGGUGCUCAAUGGUACUUUCAAUAUGGUCAGAAAUCAUAUGUAGAGUGUAAAGAUACAAAAGUGCUUGACUGUAAGACUAACAAGUUGAACAGGUACGAAAGUAGGACUUAGUGAUCCGGCAAUGCAUUGUCUUUUGCUUGUCGCUCAACGGAUAAAAGUUACCCCGGGGAUAACAGGUUCAUCUUCUCCAAGAGUUCACAUCGACGAGAAGGUUUGAUACCUCGAUGUCGGCUUGCCGUAUCCUGGAGCUGAAGCAGGUUCCAAGGGUUGGGCUGUUCGCCCAUUAAAACGGGACGUUAGCUGGGUUCAAGACGUCGUGAGACAGUCUGGUCCCUAUCUGCUGUGGACGUGGGAAAUUUGAUAGGAGGUCUUUCUAGUACGAGAGGAGCGAAGGGCUUAUACCUCUGGUGUUCCAGUUGUUCUGCCAAGAGCAUCGCUGGGUAGCUAUGUAUAAAUCGGAUAAGUGCUGAAAGCAUCUAAGCACGAAGUCGGCCUAAAGAUUAGAUUUCCAUAUGAGACAACUUAUAGACUAUGAGUUUGAUAGGCUAGAGGUGUAAGUACAGUGAUGUAUUUAGCUGACUAGUACUAAUUGUCCACAAUUUUUUUAU